AGUGAACGCUGGCGGCAGGCCUAACACAUGCAAGUCGAACGGCAGCACAGAGGAGCUUGCUCCUUGGGUGGCGAGUGGCGGACGGGUGAGGAAUACAUCGGAAUCUGCCUAUUUGUGGGGGAUAACGUAGGGAAACUUACGCUAAUACCGCAUACGACCUACGGGUGAAAGCGGAGGACCUUCGGGCUUCGCGCAGAUAGAUGAGCCGAUGUCGGAUUAGCUAGUUGGCGGGGUAAAGGCCCACCAAGGCGACGAUCCGUAGCUGGUCUGAGAGGUGGAUCAGCCACACUGGAACUGAGACACGGUCCAGACUCCUACGGGAGGCAGCAGUGGGGAAUAUUGGACAAUGGGCGCAAGCCUGAUCCAGCCAUGCCGCGUGGGUGAAGAAGGCCUUCGGGUUGUAAAGCCCUUUUGUUGGGAAAGAAAAGCAGUCGGUUAAUACCCGAUUGUUCUGACGGUACCCAAAGAAUAAGCACCGGCUAACUUCGUGCCAGCAGCCGCCGUAA
rnacentral:rRNA from 1 species